rnacentral:misc_RNA from 1 species
UGUAGGAGCCGGCUUGCUGGCGAUCCAGGCGCCGCGGUGUUUCAGGAACAUCGCGGUGAUGCUAUCGCCAGCAAGCCGGCUCCUACA